AACGAACGCUGGCGGCAUGCCUAACACAUGCAAGUCGAACGAGACCUUCGGGUCUAGUGGCGCACGGGUGCGUAACGCGUGGGAACCUGCCCUUAGGUUCGGAAUAACUCCCCGAAAGGGGUGCUAAUACCGGCUAAUGUCUUCGGACCAAAGAUUUAUCGCCUUUGGAUGGGCCCGCGUUGGAUUAGCUAGUUGGUAGGGUAAAAGCCUACCAAGGCGACGAUCCAUAGCUGGUCUGAGAGGAUGAUCAGCCACACUGGGACUGAGACACGGCCCAGACUCCUACGGGAGGCAGCAGUGGGGAAUAUUGGACAAUGGGCGAAAGCAUGAUCCAGCAAUGCCGCGUGAGUGAUGAAGGCCUUAGGGUUGUAAAGCUCUUUUACCCGGGAUGAUAAUGACAGUACCGGGAGAAUAAGCUCCGGCUAACUCCGUG
rnacentral:rRNA from 1 species